rnacentral:rRNA from 1 species
AUCCAGCCAUGCCGCGUGUGUGAAGAAGGCCUUAUGGUUGUAAAGCACUUUAAGCGAGGAGGAGGCUCUUUUAGUUAAUACCUAAGAUGAGUGGACGUUACUCGCAGAAUAAGCACCGGCUAACUCUGUGCCAGCAGCCGCGGUAAUACAGAGGGUGCGAGCGUUAAUCGGAUUUACUGGGCGUAAAGCGUGCGUAGGCGGCUAAUUAAGUCGGAUGUGAAAUCCCCGAGCUCAACUUGGGAAUUGCAUUCGAUACUGGUUAGCUAGAGUAUUGGAGAGGAUGGUAGAAUUCCAGGUGUAGCGGUGAAAUGCGUAGAGAUCUGGAGGAAUACCGAUGGCGAAGGCAGCCAUCUGGCCAAAUACUGACGCUGAGGUACGAAAGCAUGGGGAGCAAACAGGAUUAGAUACCCUGGUAGUCCAUGCCGUAAACGAUGUCUACUAGCCGUUGGUCUCUUUGAGGGAUUAGUGGCGCAGCUAACGCGAUAAGUAGACCGCCUGGGGAGUACGGUCGCAAGACUAAAACUCAAAUGAAUUGACGGGGGCCCGCACAAGCGGUGGAGCAUGUGGUUUAAUUCGAUGCAACGCGAAGAACCUUACCUGGUCUUGACAUAGUGAGAACGAUCCAGAGAUGGAUUGGUGCCUUCGGGAAUUCACAUACAGGUGCUGCAUGGGCUGUCGA